rnacentral:lncRNA from 1 species
CCCCGACAACUUACAGGGACAAGGAAUAUUGAUUGCCCCCACAUUGAUUGCCCCCACACAUCAAUACAAGACUUUCCAAUGUGUUUUGAAUGCAUUUGUUGAUAUGAGUAGCCAAAUCAAUUCCUUUAAGCUAUUCUUCAACUGUAUAGUCUCAUAUUUAUACAGUCUCUAGCCUGCCAGGAGCCGCUCUUUGUUUUUGUCUCUCGCAUUUCGUGUCUCUUGCACCAGCGAUCACUCCUCACCCUCGUCAGU